CUCCCACGCAAUUCCCCUUCACCCACCGUAGGGUUUCAGCCCAUAGAGACCCUAGCGUCGCCACCGCCAUGACCCCGCCGCCACCCAAAGCUUUGCCGACCCCGCCGCCCGUAGCUUUGUCCUAGUCUUAUCCCGGCCCUCGCCCAAGGGCAGCCCGAAGCUCCGCGCUCGCUGCUGCCGGUAAGCUCCGACCUCGUCGCCGCUACCCUGAAGCUCCACCUUUGCCACCACCGCCCUUAGCCCAAGGCCAGCCCGUAGCUCCACCCUCGUCGCCGCUGCCUCGACACUCCGCGCUCGUGCAGCUGUAACCCGAACCACGACUCCGUCGCUCCCUGGCCGAUGUCAAUGCCCCCGAUCCGCCACCAACUCCUGAAAUCGUCCGCCACCGCACCCCAGCGCCGGCGAUUUCUCUCUGACAUCUCGCCGCCGUGCCACGCUCCUCCACUGCCAUCAAUCUUGUCCGCCACGCCACGCCCAACGCCGUCAAUCUCGUCCGCCAGGUGCCUCCCUUUCACCGCGCCCUCUACCUGCCGCGCCAUUCACCGAGCAAGGCUACUGCUAGGUGCGCUCUCGAUUGAGCCACCACACGCCUGCGUUUUCUCUCUUCCUCCCUGGUUUGCAUCGAUCUCUUCCAAGGUAUAUAUAGGUGAAGCUAUCCUCAUGGGGAGGCAAUUUACAUCUGAGGCAACCAUCAAAACCAAUCGUUAAACACACUUUCAGCUAGAGGUGGAACAGAAGUCCAUGGCGAAUUCAGCCUCACCGCCACAAGUGGAUUGAACUAAAAUAUGUUUUCUUGGAAUUAAUUAUCUCAGAUCCAUGGGGCAAACAAUGCAUCGGCCUGUGCUUGUGGAGUUCCCAGCUUGUCGCAUCAAGGGAUGCAUGCUCCUGAAAGGCAACAAAAUCAGAGAUUUUGUACAUGUGCUGGAGGCUCGUCGAACCGGAUAAAAUGGGAGUCCCGUAACUCAUAAAUAGUUGUUGGGCCGAUAGUCUUUUUAAGUGAUCUUUCUAGUUUGCUAGGCUUAUAUAGAGGCUUUGCAAAAUCUAUAUCAGUAGAUGUCAUACUUAUGCGUGUGACAGUGCUUGAUGCUCCUUUUUGGUUCAGCGUGAAUAUCAGAAACAUGUGAAUACAUUAUGCUGUUGUGAUGCUUAUUAAUGAAGAAUAAUUGUGGUGGAAUGUGUAAACUAUAUUAUUUUUAAUUGU